GCUGGUCAUUUAUGAACAUUUUAACAUCUUGACCAUGUUCUGUUAUAAUAUCCACCCUGCACAGCCAGAAGAGGACUGGCCACCCCUCAUAGCCUGGUUCCUCUCUAGGUUUCUUCCUAGGUUUUUGGCCUUUCUAGGGAGUUUUUCCUAGGGAGUUUUUCCUAGCCACCGUGCUUCUUUCACAUGCAUUGCUUGCUGUUUGGGGUUUUAGGCUGGGUUUCUGUACAGCACUUUGAGAUAUCAGCUGAUGUACGAAGGGCUAUAUAAAUACAUUUGAUUUGAUUUGAUUUGAAGUGUAAAGGAAUGAAUAAGAAUAUUUACAUCAAAAUAUAUGAAUGAGCGAUGGCCGAACGGCAUAGGCAAGAUGCAGUAGAUGGUAUAGAGUACAGUAUAUACAUAUGAGAUGAGUAAUGUAGGGUAUGUAAACAUUAUAUAAAGUGGCAUUGUUUAAAGUGGCUAGUGAUACAUUUAUUACAUCAAUUUAUCAUUAUUAAAGUGGCUAGAGAUGAGUCAGUAUGAUGGCAGCAGCCACUCAAUGUUAGUGAUGGCUGUUAGUGAUGGCUGUCUGAUGGCCUUGAGAUAGAAGCUGUUUUUCAGUCUCAUUCAAGCUGUUUUUCAGUGCCCCAUUCAAAAAAUGUAGAACCAGGAACAGAUAUAGCCCUUGGUUCACUCCAGACCUGACUGCCCUUGACCAGCACAAAAACUAGCCUGCAUUAGCAUUGAAUAGCCCCCGCGAUAUGCAACUUUUCAGGGAAGUUAGGAACCAAUGUACACAGGCAGUUAGGAAGGCAAAAGCUAUCUUUUUCAAACAGAAAUUUGCAUCCGUAGCACAAACUCCAAAAAGUUCUGGGACACUGUAAAGUCCAUGGAGAAUAAGAGCACCUCCUCCCAGCUGCCCGCUGCACUGAGGCUAGGAAACACUGUCACCACCGAUAAAUCUAUGAUUAUCGAGAAUUUCAAUAAGCAUUUUUCUACAGCUGGCCUUGCUUUCCACCUGGCUACCCCUACCUCGGUCAACAGCUCUGCACCCCCCACAGAAACUUGCCCAAGCCUCCCCCAUUUCUCCUUCACCCAAAUCCAGAUAGCUGAUGUUCUGAAAGAGCUGCAAAAUCUGGACCCCUACGAAUCUAAAAUUAUCUGCCGCACUUGUUGCUAUUACUAGCCUGUUCAACCUUUCUUUCGUAUCGUCUGAGAUCCCCAAAGAUUGGAAAGCUGCCGCGGUCAUCCCCCUCUUCAAAUGGGGAGACAUCUAGACCCAAACUGUUACAGACCUAUAUCUAUCCUACCAUGCCUUUCUAAGGUCUUCGAAAGCCAGCCAAGUUAACAAACAGAUCACGAAUCCCACCGUACCUUCUCCGCUAUGCAAUCUGGUUUCAGAGCUGGUCAUGGGUGCACCUCAGCCACGCUCAAGGUCCUAAACGAUAUCAUAAUCGCCAUCGACAAAAGACAAUACUGUGCAGCCAUAUCCAUCGACCUGGCCAAGGCUUUCGACUCUGUCAAUCACCCAUUCUUAUCGUCAGAUUCAACAGCCUUUGUUUCUCAAAUGACUGCCUCGCCUGGUUCACCAACUACUUCUCAGAUAGAGUUCAGUGUGUCAAAUGGGAGGGCCUGUUGUCCGGACCUCUGGCAGUCUCUAUGGGGGUGCCACAGGGUUCAAUUCUCGGGCCGACUCUUUUCUCUGUAUACGUCAAUGAUGUUGGUCUUGCGGCUGGUGAUUCUCUGAUUCACCUCUAUGUAGACGACACCAUUCUGGCCCUUCUUUGGACACUGUGUUAACUAACCUCCAGACAAGCUUCAAUGCCAUACAACUUUCCUUCCGUGGCCUCCAACUGCUCUUAAAUGCAAGUAAAACUAAAUGCAUGCUCUUCAAUCGAUUGCUGCCCGCAUCUGCCCACCCGCCUAGAAUCACUACUUUGGACGGUUCUAACUUAGAAUAUGUGGACAACUACAAAUACCUCGGUGUCUGGUUAGACUGUAAACUCUCCUUCCAGACUCAUAUUAAGCAUCUCCAAUCCCAAAAUACAUCUAGAAUCGGCUUCCUAUUUCACAACAAAGCAUCCUUCACUCAUGCUGCCAAACAUACCCUCGUAAAACUGACUAUCCUACUGAUCCUUGACUUCAGCGAUGUUAUUUACAAAAUAGCCUCCAACACUCUACUCAGCAAAUUGGAUACAGUCUAUCACAGUGCCAUCCGUUUCGUCACCAAAGCCCCAUAUACUACUGAUAAGAGAAUACUUCAAAAUGAGAAGAUCCUGCCAUGGAAAAGACGAGUGGGUGGACAUAAAGUGGAAAGGAGGGGAAAUAACUCACACCAUGCAGCAGGACACCUUCAGCUGUGGGGUCUUUGUAAUGCAGAUGGCCAAGGAAGUCACACAGAACUUCCCCAACAUCCCCUCCCAAAUUCAUAUGGAACCUUCAAAACCAUAUGGAGCAACUGCGAAAAGAAAUGGCUGAGGAUAUACUAAAAAUGUCUGAGUUCAACAAAGCCAACAACUGAUUCAUGUGUGCCACUGAUAAAGAACCUGUCUGUGGCCCAAAGGCUGACUGGGUUAGUAACUUUAUUUAACAUGUUUAUAAUCUUUUGACAACAGUGACGGCAUGUAAGACAAUUUAUGAUAUAACACAAUGGAUGGCUAAUUCGUCAUUCGUCAUACAUUGAUGAUAUUAUUUAUAACGUGUUACGCUUUGUUUUGAUUGAAUGUUUUGCAUGUCAACGCUGGUUCCAUGUGGAAUGAAGACAAAAGAGUUCAACAGAGUAAAGAACACAACCUGGAAGUGCAGUCUUUGUUGUUGAAAAUGUAUGUUAUACCCCAUCCACACUGAAGAGGCUCUGAAAUGUACAUCAACCAGGGAUAAAGAGAAAGUUAACACUGAAAUGUUUCAUACUUAAUUGAAGUUAAGUGUCUGUUGACAUGUUGGAAAAGAUUAAAGGUCUACAAUUUCUAUUUCAUUUGUCAAUAUUACAUUUUUAUUCAUUGAUUUACUGGCCACUAUUACUGUGGUUACAUGUUCAGUAUAUGUAUUGACCAGCAAACCCACUGCAGCCUACCUCACUAGUUCACUCUCCAUCCCUGCUGUGGACAAUAACAUGACUCUCG
rnacentral:lncRNA from 1 species